rnacentral:lncRNA from 1 species
GGGCGUGUAAAUUGCUAUAAAAUUUCAGUUAAACUAUGAACUAGUUUUCAACUUUGAACUUGCUAUUUCUAUUACAUUUAAUUUAAUUUCAAUAGUAUCAACAUACUUAGGGAGCUACCAUUUGAUUUUUAUGGGGGGGCUAGGAUGAAAUUUGAAAAAAAUAGGCAGGACAGGAGUUUUGAGUAAAAAAAAAGGCAGGAUGAGACACUUGCAAAAAAAAAAAAAGUCAGGACGACAAUUUAGGUAAAAAAAAGUCAGGAUAAACUAAAAAAAAAAGGCAGGACCGAACAGAGUGAAAAAUAAAAAGGCAGGACAGAGAUUACAGCUAAAAAAAAUGCAGGACAAAAUUUUUCUUCCUAGCCCCCCCAUAAAAAUCAAAUGGUAGCUCCCUUAUCAUUUCUGAUA